GUAAUCUUAGCGCGGUCAGGCUGGGUCUUGCAGCGCUCACUCUUCCCAGGAUGCUUUUUGGAACCCAUCCACCAUCUGAGAGAUAAUAAGAAGCUUCUCUAGGACUUGUGAUUUUGGUUUCAGCAGCUCCUUCCACGUUUGAGAAGAGUCUUCUCAUUUCUUACUCAUAGAACAUCCCAUCAGACAUUUCUCCUGAUCCACAUAGUAAUUCAGGGAUCCAGGCUUCUUCCAUAAGGUGAUUCAACCAUCUUCUAUGGGCUCAGAGUCUUUUGAAUCCAGGCAGAAGAGAGAAUAAGGAACUCGCACCUGCUUCUUGAAAGUCUUCACCCUAAAGUGACAUACAUCACUUCUGCUCUCAGUCCAUUGAACAUAACUUGUCUUAUGGCUUCAACUAGCUGCAAGGGCCUCUGGGAAAUGUAGUCCUGGUCUAGGCAGUCAAUAAACAUCCUGCUGGCUCUGCCACAGAAGGCCUUUCUAAGAUGUUCUUUGAGCUGAGACGUGAGAGCCAAAGUGUGAGAGCUACUUGAAAACUGUGAAAAUGGAGUUCCCAAAGUGGGAACAGCAAGUG
rnacentral:lncRNA from 1 species